GAUGAACGCUGGCGGCGUGCCUAAUACAUGCAAGUCGAGCGAAGGGACGAGAAGCUUGCGUCGCUGAUGUUAGCGGCGGACGGGUGAGUAACACGUGGAUAACCUACCUAUAAGACUGGGAUAACUUCGGGAAACCGGAGCUAAUACCGGAUAAUAUUUUGAACAGCAUGGUUGAAAAGUGAAAGACGGUCUUGCUGGCACGUAUAGAUGGAUCCGCGCUGUAUUAGCUAGUUGGUAGGGUAACGGCCUACCAAGGCAGUGACGGGUAGCCGACCUGAGAGGGCGACCGGGCACAUUGGGAGUGAGAUACGGCCCAGACUCCUACGGGAGGCAGCAGUGGGGAAUAUUGCACAAUGGGCGAAAGCCUGAUGCAGCGACGCCGCGUGAGGGAUGGAGGCCUUCGGGUUGUAAACCUCUUUCGCUCAUGGUCAAGCCGCAGCUUUGGGUUGUGGUGAGGGUAGUGGGUAAAGAAGCGCCGGCUAACUACGUG
rnacentral:rRNA from 1 species